AAUCAACGCUGGCGGCGUGCCUCAGACAUGCAAGUCGAACGCGAAAGCCCCCUUCGGGGGGCAAGUAGAGUGGCGCACGGGUGAGUAACACGUAGGUAAUCUACCUUCGGGUGGGGAAUAACAACCGGAAACGGUUGCUAAUACCGCAUAAUGCAGCGGCACCUAAUGGUGACAGUUGUUAAAGCGGGGGAUCGAAAGAUCUCGCGCCUGAAGAGGAGCCUGCGGCGGAUUAGCUAGUGGUAGGGUAACGGCCUACCAAGGCGACGAUCCGUAGCCGGCCUGAGAGGGCGGUCGGCCACACUGACACUGACAUACGGGUCAGACUCCUACGGGAGGCAGCAGUCGGGAAUUUUGGCAAUGGGCGAAAGCCUGACCCAGCAACGCCGCGUGAAGGAUGAAAUCCCUCGGGAUGUAAACUUCGCAAGAACGGAAGAAUAAGUAGGGGACAAUACCCCCUAUGAUGACGGUACCGUUGUAAGCUCCGGCUAACUCCGUGCCAGCAGCCGCUGUAA
rnacentral:rRNA from 1 species